UACGUAGGGGGCAAGCGUUGUCCGGAUUUAUUGGGCGUAAAGAGCGUGUAGGCGGCUAGGUAGGUCCGUUGUGAAAACUCGAGGCUCAACCUCGAGACGUCGAUGGAAACCAUCUAGCUAGAGUCCGGAAGAGGAGAGUGGAAUUCCUGGUGUAGCGGUGAAAUGCGCAGAUAUCAGGAAGAACACCCGUGGCGAAGGCGGCUCUCUGGUACGUGACUGACGCUGAGGAGCGAAAGCGUGGGGAGCAAACAGG
rnacentral:rRNA from 1 species